rnacentral:rRNA from 1 species
UCGGAAUUACUGGGCGUAAAGCGUGCGCAGGCGGUUUGUUAAGCGAGAUGUGAAAGCCCCGGGCUCAACCUGGGAAUUGCAUUUCGAACUGGCGAACUAGAGUCUUGUAGAGGGGGGUAGAAUUCCAGGUGUAGCGGUGAAAUGCGUAGAGAUCUGGAGGAAUACCGGUGGCGAAGGCGGCCCCCUGGACAAAGACUGACGCUCAGGCACGAAAGCGGGGGGAGCAAACAGGAUUAGAUACCCUGGUAGUCCACGCCGUAAACGAUGUCUACUCGGAGUUUGGUGUCUUGAACACUGGGCUCUCAAGCUAACGCAUUAAGUAGACCGCCUGGGGAGUACGGCCGCAAGGUUAAAACUCAAAUGAAUUGACGGGGGCCCGCACAAGCGGUGGAGCAUGUGGUUUAAUUCGAUGCAACGCGAAGAACCUUACCUACUCUUGACAUCCACGGAAUUCGCUAGAGAUAGCUUAGUGGCUUCGGGAACCGUGAGACAGGUGCUGCAUGGCUGUCGUCAGCUCGUGUUGUGAAAUGUUGGGUUAAGUCCCGCAACGAGCGCAACCCCUAUCCUUAUUUGCCAGCACGUAAUGGUGGGAACUCUAGGGAGACUGCCGGUGAUAAACCGGAGGAAGGUGGGGACGACCUCAAGUCAUCAUGGCCCUUACGAGUAGGGCUACACACGUGCUACAAUGGCGAGUACAGAGGGUUGCAAAGCCGCGAGGUGGAGCUAAUCUCACAAAGCUCGUCGUAGUCCGGAUUGGAGUCUGC